ACCCGCUGAACUUAAGCAUAUCAAUAAGCGGAGGAAAAGAAACCAACAGGGAUUGCCCCAGUAACGGCGAGUGAAGCGGCAACAGCUCAAAUUUGAAAUCUGGCUCCGGCCCGAGUUGUAAUUUGUAGAGGAUGCUUUUGGUGAGGUGCCUUCUGAGUUCCCUGGAACGGGACGCCAGAGAGGGUGAGAGCCCCGUAUAGUCGGCCACCGAUCCUCUGUAAAGCUCCUUCGACGAGUCGAGUAGUUUGGGAAUGCUGCUCAAAAUGGGAGGUAUAUCUCUUCUAAAGCUAAAUAUAGGCCAGAGACCGAUAGCGCACAAGUAGAGUGAUCGAAAGAUGAAAAGCACUUUGAAAAGAGGGUUAAAUAGCACGUGAAAUUGUUGAAAGGGAAGCGCUUAUGACCAGACUUGUGCCGGGCUGAUCAUCCAGUGUUCUCACUGAUGCACUCGACCCGGCUCAGGCCAGCGUCGGUUAUCGCAGGGGGAUAAAAGCUUCGGGAACGUGGCACCCUUCGGGUGUGUUAUAGCCCGUUGCUUAAUACCCUUGCGGUGACCGAGGUUCGCGCUCUGCAAGGACGCUGGCAUAAUGGUCAUCAGCGACCCGUCUUGAAACACGG
rnacentral:rRNA from 1 species